rnacentral:rRNA from 1 species
AGUGAACGCUGGCGGUAGGCCUAACACAUGCAAGUCGAACGGCAGCACAGUAAGAGCUUGCUCUUACGGGUGGCGAGUGGCGGACGGGUGAGGAAUACAUCGGAAUCUACUUUUUCGUGGGGGAUAACGUAGGGAAACUUACGCUAAUACCGCAUACGACCUACGGGUGAAAGCAGGGGAUCUUCGGACCUUGCGCGAUUGAAUGAGCCGAUGUCGGAUUAGCUAGUUGGCGGGGUAAAGGCCCACCAAGGCGACGAUCCGUAGCUGGUCUGAGAGAAUGAUCAGCCACACUGGAACUGAGACACGGUCCAGACUCCUACGGGAGGCAGCAGUGGGGAAUAUUGGACAAUGGGCGCAAGCCUGAUCCAGCCAUACCGCGUGUGUGAAGAAGGCCUUCGGGUUGUAAAGCCCUUUUGUUGGGAAAGAAAAGCAGCAGGUUAAUACCCCGCUGUUCUGACGGUACCCAAAGAAUAAGCACCGGCUAACUUCGUG